rnacentral:misc_RNA from 1 species
GAUGAAGAACGUAGCGAAAUGCGAUAAGUAGUGUGAAUUGCAGAAUUCAGUGAAUCAUCGAAUCUUUGAACGCACAUUGUGCCCUUUGGUAUUCCAAAGGGCAUGCCUGUUCGAGCGUCAUUUGUACCCUCAAGCUUUGCUUGGUGUUGGGCGUCUUGUCUCUAGCUUUGCUGGAGACUCGCCUUAAAGUAAUUGGCAGCCGGCCUACUGGUUUCGGAGCGCAGCACAAGUCGCACUCUCUAUCAGCAAAGGUCUAGCAUCCAUUAAGCCUUUUUUUCAACUUUUGACCUCGGAUCAGGUAGGGAUACCCGCUGAACUUAAGCAUAUCAAUAAGCGGAGGA